rnacentral:lncRNA from 1 species
GCCAAUGCCAAUUUAAGCAGAAGGACCCUAGAAAUAUUGCAGGGACUACAGGAAAAAGCCAUUUUCUUUUUCCUGGUGAACUGCUACAUACAAACUUGAGAUGGGUUUUCCUAAUGGAAGGCAGAGAAACUCAGCACCUACUAAGAGUCUUCAUAAAGACAUAUUCAAAAUUGCCUUUAGUCCUGGAAUUUCCAUGAACCAGAUUAAGAUAUUAAUCUGACAUUAGUGAAUGUGUUCUGUCUGCCUGCACGACAGAAGAGGGCACCGGAUCUCAUUACAGACGGCUGCGAGCCACCAUGUGGUUGUUGAACCCAGGACCUCCGGAAGAGCAGUCAGUGCUCCCAACCUCUGAGCCAUCUCUCCAGCCCCCUCUUUUUUGUUUUUGUUUUAUUUUUUGAGACAGAGUUUCUCUGUGUAACAGCCCUAGCUGCCCUUGAACUCACUCCCUUUGUAGAGUAGGCUGGCUUUGAACUCACAGAGAUCCACCUGCCUGUAUUUUCUGAUUAAAGGCUGGGAUUUAAGGCCUGCACCACCACCACUCAGCUCUCCAUACACUCUUAAGGAGUAAAAUCAAUGUAGAAAACAUUACAUAUAACUGUGUCUAUCAGUUAAUCUACAACAGUUAGACAGUGGCCAGACAGUUUCUACUUUGGAGUUUUGUUUGACUCAUGGAAGCUUUUCAUAGCCCAAAUUAAAGAUGAAUACUCAGCUAGUAGCAGAGUUUUGCUUGAAAGAAGAACAGGUAAGAUGUAUGCAGUUUCAAAAAAAAAAAAAAAAGAUGUAUGUAGUUUCUCAGAUAACCAGACUUAAAGCAACCAAACCACAUGUGGACAGUUCUAAUCCAAAGACUCAAACCCAAACUACUCCAAAAUUUCAAACUUUUUUUGUGUGUUAAUGUGAUGCCUCAUAUAGGGAAAUUCACAUUUAGCCUCUUGAGACAACUCACUGUCAAAAUACAGGCAUGUUAAAAUGACCUUCAGGGCAAAUGGAUGGAACUAGAAAAAAAAUUAUACUGAGUGAGGCAACCCAGACUGACAAAGACAAACAUGAUCCGUAUUCACUAAUAAGUGGAUAUUGGCUAUAAAACAAAGGGUAACCAUGCUGCAAUCCUCAGACCCAGAGAGACUAGGUAACAAGGAGGGUUCAUGGUGGUGAGUACCCAGAUGUCCCUAGGAAG